UAAAAAGUAUCAAAUAAAUUGCGACAUAUUUCUGGAACUACAUUGCACGUCUGUAGUUUCCCUAAAAGACCAGGGGUGAGUGUUUUUAAAUUAAGUUUUCUGUAUAUAGAAAAGAAAAUGAAUAUCAAAAAACAAAAACAAAAACAAAAACCAUAGAUAAUAAUGUUAGGUAAAUUGUUUUGGAAUAUAUUACCAGUAGAUGCUUGUUACAACCUCAAAUUACUUUCAUGUGAUAAUGAAAUAUAUAUGUGUCGGCAAAAAUGGUAAAAGUGGCAUAAGGUUUAUGUUUUUAUUAUGUAAAUUAUCGGGCACAGUUUCACGAUAUUAUUUGAAAGUUUGUACUAUUUGUUAGUUGUGGAGAAAUAUUGUGUUUGUUUUUUUUGAGAAAAAAAUCGUGUGUUUGAAAAUAACUAGAGUGAAUGUAAAGAUAUGUGACUCAACUGCUGGAGGCAUCAAAUGUUAGGCACUAUAUUUCUUUGAAAAUCGAAUAUGAUUCAACGCUAUCCUUAUGUACUCACAUGCAUGGUUAAAUGUCGCAUCUUAAGGCAUAUAACGCAGAAAAGAAGAUAGGUAAAAAAAACGAGAUACAGGG
rnacentral:lncRNA from 1 species